AUACUUACCUGGCAGGGGAGAUACCAUGAUCACGAAGGUGGUUUUCCCAGGGCUAGGCUCAUCCAUUACACUCCGGAUGUGCUGACCCCUGCGAUUUCCCCAAAUGUGGGAAACUUGACUGCAUAAUUUGUGGUAGUGGGGGACUGCAUUCGCGCUUUCCCAAA
ensembl:snRNA U1 U1 spliceosomal RNA